AUACGUAGGGGGCGAGCGUUGUCCGGAAUGAUUGGGCGUAAAGGGCGCGUAGGCGGCCCGGUAAGUCUGGAGUGAAAGUCCUGUUUUUAAGAUGGGAAUUGCUUUGGAUACUGUCGGGCUUGAGUGCAGGAGAGGUAAGUGGAAUUCCCAGUGUAGCGGUGAAAUGCGUAGAGAUUGGGAGGAACACCAGUGGCGAAGGCGACUUACUGGACUGUAACUGACGCUGAGGCGCGAAAGUGUGGGGAGCAAACAGGAUUAGAUGCCCUGGUAGUCCACACUGUAAACGAUGAAUGCUAGGUGUAGGGGGUAUCGACCCCUUCUGUGCCGCAGUCAACACAAUAAGCAUUCCGCCUGGGGAGUACGGCCGCAAGGUUGAAACUCAAAGGAAUUGACGGGG
rnacentral:rRNA from 1 species